UACAGAGGGUGCGAGCGUUGUUCGGAAUUAUUGGGCGAAAGGGCGCGUAGGCGGUGCGGUAAGUCACCUGUGAAAUCUCCCUGGCUCAACUGGGAGCUUGCAGGCGAAACUGCCGUGCUGGAGUGUGGGAGAGGUGAGUGGAAUUCCCGGUGUAGCGGUGAAAUGCGUAGAUAUCGGGGAGGAACACCUGUGGCGAAAGCGGCUCACUGGACCACAACUGACGCUGAGGCGCGAAAGCUAGGGGAGCAAACAGG
rnacentral:rRNA from 1 species